GCGGAAGGAGACUGGCGUGAUAACACUCUAGAAGCUCAUUGGAGGCCGAGAAAGAGGCCGACGAGCGGGAUUGGUGCCCUGAUGGAGCCGGGCCUUUGUUUUCUUCCGCUUACCCCGGCUGGGAGCGCGAACGCUGUGGGGACUGGAGAUCUCUCCAGCCCUAGAAACUACUGGCUACCCGUCCAGGCGUGGUGGCUCACGCCUGUAAUCGCAACACUUUGGGAGGCCAAGGCGGGUGGAUCACGAGGUCAAGAGAUCGAGACCAUCCUGGCCAACAUGGUGAAACCCGUCUCUACUAAAAAUACAAAAAAGCCGAGUGUGGUGGUGGGCGCCUGUAGUCCCAACUACUCCGGAGGCUGAGGCAGGAGAAUCACUUGAACCCGGGAAGCGGAGUUUGCAGUGAGCCAAGAUGACACCGCUGCACUCCAGCCAGGCCAACAGAGCAAGACUACGUCUCCAAAAAAAAAAAAA
rnacentral:lncRNA from 10 species